AACGAACGCUGGCGGCAUGCCUAACACAUGCAAGUCGAACGAGACCUUCGGGUCUAGUGUCGCACGGGUGCGUAAUGCGUGGGAAUCUGCCCUCAGGUGCAGAGUAACUCAGGGAGACUUGAGCUAAUACCGGAUAAUGAAUUAGGUCCAAAGAUUUAUCGCAGAGGGAUGAGCCCGCGUAGGAUUAGCUUGUUUGUGAGGUAAGAGCUCACCAAGGUGACGAUCCUUAGCUGGUCUGAGAGGAUGAUCAGCCACACUGGGACUGAGAAACGGCCCAGACUCCUACGGGAGGAAGCAGUGGGGAAUAUUGGACAAUGGGCGAAAGCCUGAUCCAGCAAUGCCGCGUGAGUGAUGAAGGCCUUAGGGUUGUAAAGCUCUUUUACCCGGGAUGAUAAUGACAGUACCGGGAGAAUAAGCCCCGGCUAACUCCGUGCCAGCCGCCGCAGUAAGAC
rnacentral:rRNA from 1 species